UCCCCAGGUGCCGGCUACACACUUAAACAAGACAUUUUAAGAUUCAACCUUCCGCUUGGUCUCUCCUGGUUUCUUACCAGCAUUCACUCGCUUGCAACAGAGGAUGCCUUACGCAGCGCCUCUUCCUGCCAUCAGCAUGGGGACCAGGCUGCUUUCCUGGGCCUAGAAGUCAUUACACAAAACCCUUCUUUCGUUCAAAACAGAUCCUCACUGUGGAGAACCUUUGGUUCUCAGGUGAAACCGGCGCCUCUGUAAAUAGCUGCUGGGGAAAACUGCUUUCGUGGGUGGAAGCGAGGCUGGUGUGUGAGUUUUAGCAUCAACAACCAUCUGCUCUUGGCUGUGGCAGAGGUUUCCAUGCCGUAUACCCUGCAAUGGAGGAAUUCCCUUUUCAGUCCUGCUGUGAGCAAGAAGAGAGAUCCCAGCAGGGCGUGCUUUGUCAGGAGCAGCUUUUAUUCAUGGAUUGGAUCUCCUUGCAAUUUCAAUUUCACCAGCACGUCAGGCAGAAGACGGCAAAUUGAAAAAGAUCCUCAAAAUUCUGGCGUAUUUCUAGUGCUGUCCAUGUACAUGACCUUGGAGGUGAUGAGAGAUUGCUGUCAGCUGCAUCGCGUCACAUCCAGUCAAUGAACCCGCAGCUUAACGAGGUGCAGUCUUUGCUGGGGGGUACACACAGAGAGCUGUGCUUGAGCUGGAGCCCUGCAUCCACCUGCUUUGCAUGCAGAUGGGCACCUUUGUGAUGUUCUUCUGGAUUUCAUGGUUAACAAAGUAUUUGUUGAGCUGGGUACCAUGUGAACCACCACAGACAUCCAUGUGUCUAAGGCAGAGUACGUGUCUUUAAGGAGUUCACAGUCUAAGCAGGUGACGUACCUAUCUACUUAAGGACUGAAGCAUGUCACA
rnacentral:lncRNA from 1 species